rnacentral:rRNA from 1 species
GAUGAACGCUAGCGGCAGGCCUAAUACAUGCAAGUCGAACGGUGUCUUCGGACAUAGUGGCGCACGGGUGCGUAACACGUAUGCAACCUACCUUACAUUGGGGGAUCGCCUUUCGAAAGGGAGAUUAAUACCGCAUAAGACAGUAGCUGGGCAUCCAGCAGCUGUUAAAGAUUUAUCGAUGUAAGCUGGGCAUGCGUCCAAUUAGCUAGUUGGUGAGGUAACGGCUCACCAAGGCAAUGAUUGGUAGGGGAACGGAGAGGGCAAUCCCCCACACUGGCACUGGGAUACGGGCCAGACUCCUACGGGAGGCAGCAGUAGGGAAUAUUGGGCAAUGGACGCAAGUCUGACCCAGCCAUGCCGCGUGCAGGAUGAAGGCGUUAUGCGUUGUAAACUGCUUUUAUACAGGAAGAAACGACUCUUGCGAGAGGCAUUGACGGUACUGUAUGAAUAAGCACCGGCUAACUCCUUGCCAGCAGCCGCCGUAACAC